UACGUAGGGAGCGAGCGUUGUCCGGAAUUACUGGGUGUAAAGGGAGCGUAGGCGGGAUAGCAAGUAGAAUGUGAAAACGAUCGGCUCAACCGGUCGUGGCGUUCUAAACUGCUGUUCUUGAGUGAAGUAGAGGUAGGCGGAAUUCCUAGUGUAGCGGUGAAAUGCGUAGAUAUUAGGAGGAACACCAGUGGCGAAGGCGGCCUACUGGGCUUUAACUGACGCUGAGGCUCGAAAGCGUGGGGAGCAAACAGG
rnacentral:rRNA from 1 species